CCUACGGGAGGCAGCAGUGGGGAAUAUUGGACAAUGGGGGCAACCCUGAUCCAGCGAUGCCGCGUGUGCGAAGAAGGCCUGCGGGUUGUAAAGCACUUUGGUUGGGGAAGCGUUACCCAAAGAACAAGCACCGGCUAACUCUGUGCCAGCAGCCGCGGUAAUACAGAGGGUGCGAGCGUUAAUCGGAAUUACUGGGCGUAAAGGGUGCGUAGGCGGUUUUUUAAGUUAGAUGUGAAAUCCCCGGGCUUAACCUGGGAAUUGCAUUUAAGACUGGAAGGCUAGAGUAGAGUAGAGGGAAGUGGAAUUUCCGGUGUAGCGGUGAAAUGCGUAGAUAUCGGAAAGAACAUCAGUGGCGAAGGCGGCUUCCUGGACCAACUGACGCUGAGGCACGAAAGCAUGGGUAGCAAACAGGAUUAGAUACCCUAGUAGUC
rnacentral:rRNA from 1 species